CUUCAAGGAACCUCCCUUGACGGGUUCAUAUUCAAAGCUAAACUUUGUGUGCUAGAAACACACUACUGGCAGAGUUAUCUUUAUUUACAAACAGAGCUUCAUGGGGAGUUUAAUAUAGCUCAGUUUAGAGAAAGAUGUAGUCUAUAAAUAAAGUUUUACCCUGCACAUAGUGUCUUAAUUUCUGCCAUAUUUGUUAGUAACCUUGCUUCUCAAAAAUUAACACUGCAGCUAACUUUAUACAAAUUUAAUAACAACAAAUUACUAAUUUAUAAGGACAAGUUGCCAAUUAAUAUACAAAAAGAUAUCUGCACAUCAAACUCGUGUAGAGAGAGGGUGUUCGAACACUGGCCACUUCAGCUAUAACAGAGCUUUCUUUCAUAUUAAAGAUUGUGAGGAACGUAACAAGAUAUGACAGAACUUGCGCUCCGUUACCUGAAACUCCAUUGUUCUACUUUCACAGUGAUGGAGAGAUUGCUCCAAAUCCUUGGAUCAAGAGCCCAUCACCUGCCAGGUGUAUGCAUGUCACCGCUCUGGCCACAGCCAAUGAAAACGAGAGUUACUAAGUUGGCGGAAAACAGAAGCCAAUUACAGCCUAGAUUUAACCUAUGCAGCCAAUCAGCAGUCGUGACGUCACUUGACGAGCCAAUCAAAGCGCACAGAGACUACUACGUCACAGUGGUGGUGCGGAGCCCGCACAAGUAAACUUGCCUCAAGUCAUGCGCGGGAGAUGACGUGAGGGCGCGCGCUCCUCAGGGUAAGGUUGCUCCAAAUCCUUGGAUCAAGAGUCCAUCACCAGCACUCAAAAAGCAAAUUGCUAAGUUGGCGGGAAGCAACAGCCAAUUACAGCGUAGAUUUAGCCUGACGU